GAAAUGCGAUAAGUAAUGUGAAUUGCAGAAUUCAGUGAAUCAUCGAAUCUUUGAACGCACCUUGCGCUCCUUGGUAUUCCUUGGAGCAUGCCUGUUUGAGUAUCAUGAAAUCUUCAAAGUAAAUCUUUUGUUAACUCAAUUGGUUUCUACUUUGGUAUUGGAGGUCUUUGCAGCUUCACACCUGCUCCUCUUUGUUCAUUAGCUGGAUCUCAGUGUUAUGCUUGGUUCCACUCGGCGUGAUAAGUUAUCUAUCGCUGAGGACACUGUAAAAGGUGGCCAAGGUAAAUGCAGAUGAACCGCUUCUAAUUGUCCAUUGACUUGGACAAUACUUUUAUGAUCUGAUCUCAAAUCAGGUUGGACUACCCGCUGAACUUAAGC
rnacentral:misc_RNA from 1 species